rnacentral:rRNA from 1 species
UACGUAGGGUGCAAGCGUUAAUCGGAAUUACUGGGCGUAAAGCGUGCGCAGGCGGUUUUGUAAGUCUGACGUGAAAUCCCCGGGCUCAACCUGGGAAUUGCGUUGGAGACUGCAAGGCUAGAAUCUGGCAGAGGGGGGUAGAAUGCCACGUGUAGCAGUGAAAUGCGUAGAGAUGUGGAGGAACACCGAUGGCGAAGGCAGCCCCCUGGGUCAAGAUUGACGCUCAUGCACGAAAGCGUGGGGAGCGAACAGG